UGGCGGACGGGUGAGUAAUGUCUGGGAAACUGCCCGAUGGAGGGGGAUAACUACUGGAAACGGUAGCUAAUACCGCAUAACGUCGCAAGACCAAAGAGGGGGACCUUAGGGCCUCUUGCCAUCGGAUGUGCCCAGAUGGGAUUAGCUAGUAGGUGGGGUAAUGGCUUACCUAGGCGACGAUCCCUAGCUGGUCUGAGAGGAUGACCAGCCACACUGGAACUGAGACACGGUCCAG
rnacentral:rRNA from 1 species